rnacentral:rRNA from 1 species
GAUGAACGCUAGCUACAGGCUUAACACAUGCAAGUCGAGGGGCAGCAUGAUUGAAGCUUGCUUCAAUUGAUGGCGACCGGCGCACGGGUGAGUAACACGUAUCCAACCUUCCGUACACUCAGGGAUAGCCUUUCGAAAGAAAGAUUAAUACCUGAUGGUAUCUUAAGCACACAUGUAAUUAAGAUUAAAGAUUUAUCGGUGUACGAUGGGGAUGCGUUCCAUUAGGUAGUAGGCGGGGUAACGGCCCACCGUGGCGACGAUGUCUAGGGGUUCUGAGAGGAAGGCCCCCCACACUGGGACUGAGACACGGCCCAGACUCCUACGGGAGGCAGCAGUGAGGAAUAUUGGUCAAUGGGCGGAAGCCUGAACCAGCCAUGCCGCGUGAAGGACUAAGGCCCUACGGGUCGUAAACUUCUUUAGAUGCAGAGCAAUAAGGUCCACGUGUGGACCGAUGAGAGUAUGCGUAGAAUAAGCAUCGGCUAACUCCGUGCCA